rnacentral:snRNA from 1 species
GGAUGUGAGGGUGAUAUGGCUCCAACUUCUGUCGCCUCUCUGAUUGUCAGGUUUGAUUCAGCGGGUGUUCCCUUCCUCCCUCAACGUUCCACGUGGGUCCCUUCACGAAGCUGCGCACUUGGGGAAGAGGACGACCUUCCCAGACAGAGGAGGACCGCUCUUUGGUCAAGGAUCUAAGAGUAGCUGUGCUAGAGCCUCCAAACAAGCUCUCAAGAAAAUCACAUUUUAUCACAGUUUUGGAAGCUUGAUUUCUGAGACCAGGGUGUCUACAGGUUUCUGAGGACACUUCUU